UACGGGGGGAGCAAGCGUUGUUCGGAUUUACUGGGCGUAAAGGGCGCGUAGGCGGUCAGCACAAGUCAGUUGUGAAAUCUCCGGGCUUAACUCGGAAAGGUCAACUGAUACUGUGCGACUAGAGUGCAGAAGGGGCAACUGGAAUUCUCGGUGUAGCGGUGAAAUGCGUAGAUAUCGGAAGGAACAUCAGUGGCGAAAGCGGCUUCCUGGACCAGAACUGACGAUCAGGCUCGAAAGCGUGGGGAGCAAACAGG
rnacentral:rRNA from 1 species